UGUUUCUUUAGUGUUUCCUGUUUUAUUUUGUAGUUCUUGUCCCCAGUGUUUCUUGUCUUGUCUUACUUCCUCCCUUUGUCUGGUUUCCCUCCAUUUUUGAUUGCCCCGAUUGUCUUCACCUGUGUCUGAUUACCCCGUGUCUAUUAAGUCUCUGAGUGUUCAUUCCCUCUUGUUGUCAGUUUGUCAUGUCAAACCUUCUCUGUGUGAAGUUUUCUCUGCUCUAGUGUAUUUUGGUUUCUUCCUGAGUUUGGACUUUUACGUUGGACCUUGUUACUUUUUAGACUUUAACAAGGUGUGAUAGAGAGAUGAAGAGACCAACCACAACACCUGAGGUGUCAUGUUGAUGAACAUGACGAUCUUUGUACCUGCUGGAGGUGCCAAGCUGGUGAAAACAGAAAGUGACAUUUUCAUUGGAGGCAACUUAUCAUUUUAACGCUGACUAUUAAAGAAAAUCCUUAAAGGAGACUCAAACAAGAAAAAACUCUCAGAGAGGGAGGAGGGGUCAUCAAAUAUCUAUCAACACACCUGGUGUGACAGCAGAGAAGA